rnacentral:rRNA from 1 species
GUGGGGAAUUUUGGACAAUGGGCGCAAGCCUGAUCCAGCAAUGCCGCGUGCAGGAAGAAGGCCUUCGGGUUGUAAACUGCUUUUGUACGGAACGAAACGGUCCUGGUUAAUACCUGGGGCUAAUGACGGUACCGUAAGAAUAAGCACCGGCUAACUACGUGCCAGCAGCCGCGGUAAUACGUAGGGUGCGAGCGUUAAUCGGAAUUACUGGGCGUAAAGCGUGCGCAGGCGGUGCUGUAAGACAGGCGUGAAAUCCCCGGGGUCAACCUGGGAACUGCAUUUGUGACUGCAGAGCUAGAGGACGGCAGAGGGGGAUGGAAUUCCGCGUGUAGCAGUGAAAUGCGUAGAUAUGCGGAGGAACACCGAUGGCGAAGGCAAUCCCCUGGGCCUGUACUGACGCUCAUGCACGAAAGCGUGGGGAGCAAACAGGAUUAGAAACCCUAGUAGUCC